UUAGAGUUUGAUCCUGGCUCAGGAUGAACCUUGGCGGCGUGCCUAAUACAUGCAAGUCGAACGAGAGCGUCCUUCGGGACAAUCUAGUGGCGAACGGGUGAGUAACACGUAGGUAACCUGCCUUAAAGUUGGGAAUAACAGUUGGAAACGACUGCUAAUACCGAAUAGGUAAUUGGAAGGCAUCUCCUAAUUAUUAAAGGUCCUUCGGGACUGCUUUAGGAGGGACCUGCGCUGCAUUAGUUAGUUGGUGAGGUAACGGCUCACCAAGACCGUGAUGCAUAGCCGGACUGAGAGGUUGAACGGCCACACUGGGACUGAGACACGGCCCAGACUCCUACGGGAGGCAGCAGUAGGGAAUCUUCGGCAAUGGGGGGAACCCUGACCGAGCAACGCCGCGUGAAUGAAGAAGUACUUCGGUACGUAAAAUUCUUUUAUUAGGGAAGAAUGUAUGCUAGAGGAAAUGCUAGUAUAGUGACGGUACCUAAUGAAUAAGCCCCGGCUAACUAUGUGCCAGCAGCCGCGGUAAUACAUAGGGGGCAAGCGUUAUCCGGAAUUAUUGGGCGUAAAGGGUGAGUAGGCGGCAAAUAAAGUUUAUGGUAUAAACACAGUGCUCAACGCUGUGAGGCUAUAAAAACUAAUUAGCUAGAGUUAGGUAGAGGCAAGUGGAAUUCCAUGUGUAGCGGUAAAAUGCGUAAAUAUAUGGAGGAACACCAGUGGCGAAGGCGGCUUGCUGGGCCUAAACUGACGCUGAGGCACGAAAGCGUGGGGAGCAAACCGGAUUAGAUACCCGGGUAGUCCACGCCGUAAACGAUGAGUACUAAGUGUCGGAAUAAUUCGGUGCUGUAGUUAACGCAAUAAGUACUCCGCCUGAGUAGUACGUGCGCAAGCAUGAAACUCAAAGGAAUUGACGGGACCCCGCACAAGCGGUGGAUCAUGUUGUUUAAUUCGACGAUACGCGAAGAACCUUACCAGGUCUUGACAUCCCCUGCAAGAGCUUAGAGAUAAGCUUGAGGUUAUCAGGGUGACAGGUGGUGCAUGGUUGUCGUCAGCUCGUGUCGUGAGAUGUUGGGUUAAGUCCCGUAACGAGCGCAACCCUUGUCGUUAGUUGCCAGCAUUAAGUUGGGGACUCUAACGAGACUGCCAGUGAUAAACUGGAGGAAGGUGGGGAUGACGUCAAAUCAUCAUGCCCCUUAUGACCUGGGCUACAAACGUGAUACAAUGGCUGGAACAAAGGGAAGCGAAAGAGUGACCUGGGGCAAAACUCAUAAAGACAGUCUCAGUUCGGAUUGAAGUCUGCAACUCGACUUCAUGAAGCCGGAAUCGCUAGUAAUCGUGGAUCAGAACGCCACGGUGAAUACGUUCUCGGGGUUUGCACAAACGGCCCGUCA
rnacentral:rRNA from 1 species